UCCAGCCUAUAUUAUGAGAUGUCCUCCCCUCACGAGCCUCCAAUGCUAUGUUGCUUCAGUGCUUUUAGGUGCAGUCGGAAUGCACGUUGUAUAUGUGACUAAAAACACAGUGACUGUACAGUGGGAGUGGCAGAGAAAGGAGGUUCACCCCAAGGUUCUCAGAUACAGAGUGAUACUGCGCCUGGGGGAGAUACAGGUUGAAUCUAUCCCUGUCUGGACAGAGGUAUGGCAGCACACAUUCUUCAAACUCCGCACAAACACAGGCUAUUCUGUUAAUUUACUGGCGGAGACUUCUAAUGACAACAUUUCAAGAGAAAUUAUUCAGAUUAAAACACAUAUUUUUGAACAUAAUGAAAUAAUGUUCACCUUCUGUCUAAUCGUCCUGCUUACUCUUGGCCUUGGAGUUUUCUUGAUCUUAUCCAGAACUGUCUUGUCUCUGUAUAUUUGCUGUGUUUGUUUUUGUAUGUAUUUGGCUUUUUUAUGCUGCACAAUACUUUUCUUUCGGGGGACAAUCAAGACACACUUCCGUUCAAAAUUUGGGGUCACUUAGAAAUGUCCUAGUUUUUUAAAGAAAAGCACAUUUGUUGUUCAUUAACAUAACAUCAAAUUGAUCAGAAAUAAUGUAGACAUUGUUAAUAUUGUCAAUGACUAUUGUAGCUGGAAAUUGCUUUUUUUUAAUGGAAUAUCUACUGUAUAUAGGUCCAUUGUCAGCAACCACCACUCCUGUGUUCCAAUGGCAUGUUGUGUUAGCUAAUACAAGUUUAUUAUUUUAAAAGGCUAAUUGAUCAUUAGCAAACCCUUUUGCAAUUAUGUUAGCACAGCUGAAAUCUGUUAUUCUGAGUAAAGAAGCAAUACAACUGGCCCUCUUUAGACUAGUUGAGUAUCUGGAUGGAGCAUCAGCAUUUGUGGGUUUGAUUAGAGGUUAAAAAUGGCCAGAAACAAAGUCAGGAUGUGGCCCAGAAGUUAAUUGACAGCAUGCCAGGGCAGAUUGCAGAGGUCUUGAAAAAGAAGGGUCAACACUGCAAAUAUUGACUCUUUGCAUCAACUUCAUGUAAUUGUCAAUAAAAGCCUUUGACACUUAUGAAAUGCUUGUAAUUAUACUUCAGUAUUCCAUAGUAACAUCUGACAAAAAUAUCUAGACACUGAAGCAGCAAACUAUGUGAAAAUUAAUAUUUGUGUCAUUCUCAAAACUUUUUGCCACGACUGUAUAUUGAGUGGAAUUGAAUAAACA